AAAUAAGAAGCAAUAAAUUGCAUCUAAUUUCGACCUAGAAGUAUGACAAAUAGUCCUUAUUUA
rnacentral:tRNA from 1 species